CAAUGGAGGAACUCUGAAUGCAGCGACGCCGCGUGAGUGAAGAAGUAUUUCCGUAUGUAAAGCUCUAUCAGCAGGGNAAGAAAAUGACGGUACCUGACUAAGAAGCCCCGGCUAACUACGUGCCAGCAGCCGCGGUAAUACGGAGGAUCCGAGCGUUAUCCGGAUUUAUUGGGUUUAAAGGGAGCGUAGGUGGACAGUUAAGUCAGUUGUGAAAGUUUGCGGCUCAACCGUAAAAUUGCAGUUGAUACUGGCUGUCUUGAGUACAGUAGAGGCAGGCGGAAUUCGUGGUGUAGCGGUGAAAUGCUUAGAUAUCACGAAGAACUCCGAUUGCGAAGGCAGCCUGCUGGACUGUAACUGACGCUGAUGCUCGAAAGUGUGGGUAUCAAACAGGAUUAGAACCCUGGUAGUCCAAGGGCGAAUUC
rnacentral:rRNA from 1 species